rnacentral:rRNA from 1 species
UACGAAGGGGGCUAGCGUUGCUCGGAAUCACUGGGCGUAAAGCGCACGUAGGCGGAUCUUUAAGUCAGGGGUGAAAUCCUGGAGCUCAACUCCAGAACUGCCUUUGAUACUGGGGAUCUCGAGUCCGGAAGAGGUGAGUGGAACUCCGAGUGUAGAGGUGAAAUUCGUAGAUAUUCGGCGGAACACCAGUGGCGAAGGCGGCUCACUGGCCCGAUACUGACGCUGAGGCGCGAAAGCGUGGGGAGCAAACAGG